CUGGACCUUGUUUGCUUGUUUGGACUGCUUUCUCAUGCCAGACUGGCAGCCUCUUAAUUUGAACCUUGAUUUAGUAAAGUCGCAUUUCUUCAACCUGCUCUGCCUCAGUGUGCCUUUAGGCCCUCAACCCUAUUGCGAUGAAAACACACCCAUGACUUGUGUACACGUAACAGCAGCCUAGCUGUCACGGCCACGGCAGCUACUGGAAGUAGAUCGGGUUUCAGCUCCUCUGAUUCUGGGCUGGUGUGCAGCAGUGUGUGUGUCCCUCCUUCUACACAAAACCUGUAAAAGCUCCGGGGAGCUGCUCACGCUCUACGUGUGGAGUGAUUCCGAAGUCGUGCUUUGAGGCUAAAAAGAGACGGACCUCUGAAAUGCAGAGCCGCCAAAUGUCCUGGAUGUGUCGACCCUCCGGAGAGCCGGCCGAUGCGGCAGCAUCCUGCUGACGCUGCUGGUCACUGAGCUGAUCCGCUGGACCAAGAGGGAUUCAUGUUCAAGGACAGAUAAUUUCCCAGUAAAUGAGAGAACAGCGACAUGAAACCUCUCCACAUUAUGCAGCGGACCCUGAGGACCCCGAUCAAGGACCCCUGGGGGGCCCCAGACUCCACUUUGGAAACCACUUCUUCUUCUUGAAGGUGCAACUGCCAUAAAAAUAGAUAAAAGAAACUUGUGAAGCAG